rnacentral:rRNA from 1 species
CCUACGGGAGGCAGCAGUGAGGAAUAUUGGUCAAUGGGCGGAAGCCUGAACCAGCCAAGUCGCGUGAGGGAAUAAGGCCCUACGGGUCGUAAACCUCUUUUGCCGGGGAGCAAGGGCGGGGACGUGUCCCGGUCCGGAGAGUACCCGGAGAAAAAGCAUCGGCUAACUCCGUGCCAGCAGCCGCGGUAGUCCGGAGGAUGCGAGCGUUAUCCGGAUUUAUUGGGUUUAAAGGGUGCGUAGGCGGGCUUUUAAGUCAGCGGUAAAAAUUCGGGGCUCAACCCCGUCCGGCCGUUGAAACUGGGGGCCUUGAGUGGGCGAGAAGAAGGCGGAAUGCGUGGUGUAGCGGUGAAAUGCAUAGAUAUCACGCAGAACCCCGAUUGCGAAGGCAGCCUUCCGGCGCCCUACUGACGCUGAGGCACGAAAGUGCGGGGAUCGAACAGGAUUAGAUACCCCUGUAGUC